GUUUUUUGUCUUUUCUGGGGCUGCUCCCGCAGCACAUGGAGGUUCCCAGGCUAGGGGUCAAAUCGGAGCUACAGCUGCCAGCCUACACCACAGCCAUGGCAAUGCAGGAUCCGAGCCGCAUCUGCGAUCUACACCACAGCUCACGGCAACGCCAGAUCCUUAACCCACGGAGCGAGGCCGGGGAUGGAACCCGCAACUUCAUGGCUCCUAGUUGGGUUCGUUAACCACUGAGCCACGACGGGAACUCUCGGGUCUAAGUCUUAUUCCUUAUGCUUUGUGAUCUUAGAUUUAUUACUUUUCCUCUCUGUUUCUUUACACUUCAGUGGAGGAAUCAUAAUAGCGUUAAUUUUUUCCCUCCUGGUGUAGUUUUGAGAAUGAAAUGAUACAAAAGAACUUUUAGUUUAAGGUUCUUCCAAAUGUAAUUAUUUCUUAUUCUCAUCUCAUUGGGCUGUAGAGAAGCCGUGGUUAGAAGCAUGGCCUUUGCUCCGUAGCUUAUUAGCUGUGCCCUCUGGGGCAAGUUCCUUAACCUCUCUGUGCCUCUGUCGUCUCUAUAAGAAGGGGAGAACAGUAGUGCCAGUCCAACAGGACCAAGUUAAUGGAGAGCCGUGGAUCCCCGAGACUGGCACGGAGACAGGAUGUGCUCAGCUCCUUUUUUUUCCCCUUUUAGCUUAUUCUUAUUACUCUGAAACUCUGCGGCAAUGGAGUUUCUCAUUCUGCCUAUACGUGGACUCAGCCCUUUGCCCACCUCACGUCUCUCUGUAAUUCGGCUUUCCAUUUAAAACUCUCCCAGCAGAGAGCACCCCAUCCCUGGUGGCCGACCCUCGGCGCCCAGAGCAGCAGAGGCGGGAGUGGAGAAGCCCAGCACCAGCGCGGGCCUCUCUCAGCUGCGCAGCUCAGGCACCGCUUUGCAUCGCAGUAGAAGUUAGUUUGUAAGUGAGCCUAUCAGGGAAUUGGGAAUUCCACAUGGAAGCAAUAUGGAACGUGGAAGCUGAGACAUGCUGGCGUUUGGCGUGCUCUAACAGUGGGCACGAAACAGCUCUUGGGCAUUUCAAAGCGCCUAGAAGAGCAGAGGAGGUAAGGCGGCUUUUCUCCCGCUGCCUUUGAGUUGACACAUUUGCAUUUAAAAAUUUUUUUGUUAGAGUAUAGUAUAUCUAAAGUGUUGUGCCAAUUUCUGGUGUACAGCCAAGUGUCACAGUCGUAUGUAUAUAUGUAUACAUUCUUUUUCUUUUUUAAAAAAUUAAGAGUGGGCGCCCCCAUUGUGGUGCAGCAGAAGCAUAUCCGACUAGUAUCCGUGGAGAUGCGGGUUUGAUCGCUGGCCUCGGUCGGUGGGUUGGGGAUCCAGCAUUGCUAUGAGCUGUGGUGUAGUUUGCAGACAUGGCUCAGAUCCUGUGUGGCUAUGGCUGUGGCCUAUGCUGGUGGCUGUAGAUCCUAUUCGACCCCUAGCCUGGGAACCUCCACAUGCCGUGGUUGCGACCCAAAAAGCAAAAAAAAACGAAACAAAACACACACACACACAAAAAACGUAAAGUAUAGUUGAGUUAUGGUGUUCCAGACACACACACACACACACACACACACACACUUUUUCUCAUACUGUCUUCCAUCGUGUCCUGACCCAAGAGGUUGGAUCGUUCCCUGGGUGGUACAGCAGGACCUCGUUGCUUCUCCAUUCUAAACCUAAUAGUUUGCCUCUACGAACCCCAAACUCCCCGUCCAUCCACUCCCCCCUCGCCCCAGAAAAGCGGCUCUGAAGCUUCGGCUCACAAUCUUUUCCCCGGGGGCCACCAGCUGCCGAGGUUGUAGGGAUUCAAGAGGCGGCAGUGGUGGAUUAAUCCUGCAAAGACGGUCAGUGUGCUUGAUGUGAAGGCACUCGUGACAUCUGACCAGCAACCUGUAACCUGUCGCUCGCCACCUGGGAUGGGGAAACUGAGGCUUAGAGCAGAUGCCUCCUAGCAGUCGCAAUGGCUCAUAGAGGCUGUCGCUGCAGGCGGGUCCAGGCCAGGCUUGUCUAGGUCCAUGCCCCCCCACCCCGGGCCGGAGCCUCCCCACCCCGCCAGCUCUGUCUUAGGUUUGGUGUGUGGGCUAUGACCUUACCGCUGGCCCUGGCGCGCUCCCGUGGAUGUGUGUGCUGGUGGCCUUGGGGGACAUGUGCCCUCGCCAGGCCGGGCCGUUGUCUCCCUGAGCCUCACCCGCCCCCAGCCGCUGCCCUUUUCCCCUUGUUCCCCUUCGAUGAGCUCCCAUGUGGGAGUCAUGCAACAAGGAGAAAUGUCAGGAGCCUCCGAGUGACUGGGUUAAAGUGUGACUGUGUUUCCACGUUCACUAUCGGGACCCGUCCUCUGACACAGUGUUAGAGCUUUGCUGAGACACGGUCUUGCAAUUAGAACAGUUCUGGGAAUCAGAGAAACCCUGGGACAGUAUCCACAGUGAGCACUGACCAAGGGAAGGGAAACACCUCUAGUGUUUUCUGGAACAGGUGUAAAAUGAAAUUUGUCAGAUGUCAAUUGAGUGUUCAGGGGAGGCGGCCUUACAAGAAGCCAGGAGCAGUUUGCUCUGCCAUCCAGCCCGAUCGCUGAGUCAGCAGUGUGGAUGUAGGAAACGGGAGACAGACACCCUUCCCUCCAGGAACUUAAUCUGUAAAAGUACACGGGGCCCUCAUACAAAUCCAAGUAAAUGUGCUGACAGUGUAUAAACUCGUGCAGUGUUUCCAGUGUAGACAUUGUGCUCAGCCUCCAGUGUCCAUGAUUCAGUUUAAAGGAAGCAAACUGAUGCCCAGCGGGAGGAAACGCAGCCUGCGGGGUGGCGUGUGGUCCCGCCCUGGCGUUGAGACCAGCCGGGCCUUGGAUGCUUUUAGACAGAGGAGUGGGCUCCAGCCCGGCGUCGCACCCCCUCCCCGGUGCUGCCCUGGCCCCCGGUGUUCUAACCGUACAGCGGUCUCCGUUCAGUGGCCGUGUUGUGAGACACGCCCUCAGGCAGGGCCGGUGCCCUCACCUUUAUUCUCCUCCUGGCCCCAGCACGGUGGCUGCCACCUUGUGGGCACAGCAUGAGCCUUUGGGACUGAAGAAUGCGAGGACACGGUCCUGCUGCAGGACGCGCCGGCUUAGUGUUAGAAAAGGCAGAGCUGCGCAGAAGACGGCAGAUCCGCCAACACCUCUCUUUUCUCUGCCUCGGUUUCAUGUUGGAUGAGUGAGGGGAUGUCCAUGGAAGCUUCUGGCUCUCACUGAAAAGUACCACAGGGCAGUCGUGGCGACACAGACAGGGGCUCUCGGAGGGAGGGAUCCCGGGUCCCUUCGUUGGAAAGGCUGCUCAGGGAGAUCGAGAGGUGAGCUGUGGUUUGCAGGGUGCCUCAGGCGGAGCAGAGGGCACCACGUGACAGUGGCACAGGUGCUUCAGAGGCACAGUGUGUGUGAUGACGUGUGCAGCUGAGGACACAGAGGAGGGCCAGGUCAAGAAGGUCUUGAUGGCCAGCGGGGUGCACUUGCAGAACUUGGAGUUUCUUCAGUGGCUCUGGGGGUUCCAGAGUCACGUGGUGUGAAGGCUGGUGCUGCCAGCUCCUGAUGCUGUGUGGGAGGCUGGGGUGGAAGGGCGCCGCCUGGGCAGGGGGUUGAUAGACUCCCCGAAGUGACACUUUUCCGUGGGCCCCUGUGCGCCACAUCUAGGCAGAGCCGUGCAGUUUAAGAAUUAGCAGGCAUUAGGGUGGCUGUAGUUUUCUGUCGAAUAACAGCUUGAGAGGCAGCCAUUUUCAGAAACAUUUGUGAAAUUGAAUUUAAAGUAGUGGGCAGUUAUUUUUGGAAGCCAGGCUUGCCAAGCCAUAUUUCUUUUGAUUUAGCUGAAAUAUGUCAAAAAUAGAUUGAUAGACCUUACUUAGGGAAAGACAGUCUUCUGGAAUGCUUGCCUGCUUCUACCUAGAGACUAUAAUUUAAUACAGUUUCUUGAUAGAUGUAUGCGCUAGAAACCUACAGAAUAAGAUUUCCGGCUUCCUGAAACAAAAAGGAAAUUCAAAACUAAAGGCAAAGUGCCUCCCUGUGAUAAACCUUACCAACCAGCACUGGGUUUUUACGCUGCUGAUGUGAAGAAGGAAGUCCAGGCAGCUCUGGUUGGAGUUCCCGCCGUGGCACAGCGGGUUAAAGAGUCCGACCGCAGUGGCUGGGUCACUGUGAAGGUGCAGGUUCGAUCCCGGGCCUGGCGCAGUGGGUUAAGGAUGGAUCCCUCGGCUGGAAUCUUCUCUGUGCCAUGGGUGUGGCUGAAAACCAAACAAGACAAGCCUCCAUAUUCCACUGAGACAUUUUACGUACGUAGAAAAUCCUAAGAAAUUGACAGGCAGUAUACUAGAACAGUUAAUCUAGCAGGAUAACAAGAUCUAUGGUCAAUACACAAAAAUCAAUUUUAUGUCUAUUAUUGAUAGGCGUUUAGACAGUGAAAAAGGAAAUAUCAUAGCAUUUACAAAAACAACAAAAUUUAUACCUAGGAAUGCAUUCAAGAAAGGAUGUGUACAUUGGAAAUGACAAGAAUUAAUUUCUUUCAGAAAAAGACCCAAAUAAAUAGAAAGGUAUUGAGAGCUGUGCAUAUUCAUGGCUAGAAAUUCCUAAUAGUAAGAUGACAGCUCUUUCCAAGUUGAUCUAGGUCAAGUUCCAGCAGGAUUAUUUUCUAAAGGAAUUGCUAACUUGCUGCUCAGAUUCACGGGGAAGUGCCCUGGACGUGACCCCGGCCAGCACAGCUGCAGCCGUCAAGGUGGCCCGGUGUUGGCAUAAUGAUAAGCACAUGGGCAGACGGGAACAAGACACGGAGUCCAGCCGUGGGCCUUUCCGUAUAAAUUCAGUUGAUUCAAAGGGGGAAAGGAUUCACGUUUUCAACCAGUGCUGUUGGCGCAGUUAUCAGUAUUCAGAAAAUUAACUUCAACGCUUGCCCCACACAGACCCAGAAAUUAAAUUGAAAUGGAUCAGAGCCUUGGAAUGCAGAAGACAAAACGGCAGAGUUUAUCAAAGGAGAUUGAGGUAAAAUCUCCAUUUUGGGGCAUGCAGAGAUUUCUUAGGCCACAAAGCAUGAAACGUAAAGGACAAAAUGAUAAAUUAGACUUCAUUAAAAUAGAAAACUGCUGCUCUUCAAAAGCCACUUUAUGGAGAUAAAAACACGAGCCUUAGCCUUGUAGUAUUUGCAGAUCACAUAUCUGUUAAAGCACUUGUAGCCAUGAUAUUUUUGUUGCUGUUUUUUAUUUUGGCCACUCCCACAGCAUGUGAAGUUCCUGGGCCAGGGAUUGAACCCGCACCGUCGGAGUGACAACACUGGAUCUUUAACCAACUGAGCCACCAGGGAACUCCCUGAAAUAUUCUUGGGGGGGACUACAUCUGUGGCACGUGGAAGUUCCCAGGCCAGGGACUGAAUCUGCGCCACGGCAGGGACCUGAGCUGCUGCAGUGACAGCAGCACAUCCUUAACCCAGUGUGCCACAAAAGAACGCCCUAUAUUAUCCAGAAUCUAUUUAAAAAAACUCUUACAACUCAACAGUAAGGAGACAACCUAAUCCUAAAAUAGGCAAGAGAGGAGUUCCCGUUGUGGCUCAGUGGUUAACAAAUCCAACCAGGAGCCAUGAGGUUGUGGGUUCGAUCCCUGCCCUUGCUCAGUGGGUUAAGGAUCUGGUGUUGCCGUGAACUGUGGUGUAGGUCACAAAGGCGGCUCAGAUCUGGUGCGGCAUUGCCGUGGCUGUGGUGUAGGCCGGCACCUAUAGCUCCAAUUUGACCCCCAGCCUGGGAACCUCCACAUGCCGCGAGUGUGGUCCUAAAAAGGAAAAAAAA
rnacentral:lncRNA from 1 species